AAACAGAUUUAGGAACCUUGGCAUCAGGCAUGUUACCAUGCGACAAAGUUGCAUCAUUUGAUUUUGAUAGAUCUGGUUGCACUGAUGACGUGGUUGCUUGUUGGGUUUGUUGUGCAGAAGGUGUCAAUACAGCAUGACCAAAUGCAUCCUGACUUCUAGAACUGAUACUUGCAUUAGGAGCUUGAAUACUGGCACCUGCUUGUGAGACCCCAUUCUGACCAGCAAGUAAAUCAGUGGAACUGGGAGGGUGAGAAGCUGUAAUUGUACUUCCAACUAGUGUUCCUUGACCAGAAAUAUUUGGUUGAGAUUGGAAACCAGGGCUAGGAUUUGAGGGCAUGGUUGCUUGGUGGGUUUGUUGUGCAGAAGGUGUCAAUACCGCAUGACCAAAUGCAUCCUCGCUUCUAGAACUGAUACUUGCAUUAUGAGCUUGGACUCUGGCACCUGUUUGUGAGACACCAUUCUGACCAGGAAGAAAAUCAGUGGAACUGGGAGGGCAAGAAGC
rnacentral:lncRNA from 1 species